rnacentral:lncRNA from 1 species
UUGCACUCCAUGGCCUGACUGGAAUCCACAGGUCAGUCCAACCUGUGCUCUGCAAAACCAAAGCAAAGGCCAGGCAUGAGAGCCCAUGGCUUUAGUCUCAGCACCUGACAGGCAGGUAGAUCCCUGUGGAUUGGAGGUCAGCCUGGUCUACAUAACAUGUUCCAGCUAUAUAAUUCCAAUUUAAAAAUAAAACAGGCAUAGAGAUGGACAUCUAUAAUUCUAGCACUUAGGGGGCAGGAGCAAGAAGACUGUUACAAGUCCGAGACUACAUGAACCUUGUCCUGAGAAAACAAGAGUAGAGCCCAAAGAAAAGCUGUUUCAACACAAACAUCCCCUAUUUAUAUGCCACAAACAGCUCUCAGCUAAGACGUCUGCGUAUACUAGAAGCACUGAGUAAAACACCCGAUGUUGUGUGUGUUAGGUACAGAAAGGAAGGACUUCAGUGGAGACUAUCAGCUCCCUCAAGGAUGGGCAGCAGCUCUCAUGUGUGUCCUUUAUCUCCUAAGAAGUAUUUUUCCCACAAGCAAUCAGCCUGAGUCUCACGGAGCAGAAACAAGAUGCUGAACAGUCCAAGAGCAAAAGAGAAGAGCUGAGGGGCAACAUUAAAGGCGACACCCCAGCAGAUGGGAAUGAGGGGAGACACAGGAACAACACAUGAGAAACAUUUUCAUAAUCACUUUUUUUUUUUGUUUUUCAAGACAGGGUUUCUCUGUGUAGCCCUGGCUGUCCUGGAACUCACUUUGUAGACCAGGCUGGUCUUGAACUCAGAAAUCCGCCUGCCUCUGCCUCCCGAGUGCAGGGAUUAAAGGUGUGUGCCACCACGCCCGGCUUUCAUAGUCACCUUUUAAGAGUCUCAAUUAUGAUCAGCUUUUAGUUACAGAGAAAAGUUCUCAGGCACACAAAGAUUUGAAGGAAUCACAGUGUUUGCAAAUAACUCAGGGCUUAAUAAAGUGCAUGCAAGUGUGAAAGGUUAGAGAUGGCCAAAUGCCAACACUUGGGCGGGGAGUGUGUAUAUACACACACACACAUACAUGUGGGGGGUAUACAUGUGUGUGCAUGCGGAUCACAAUGGUGCACAUGUAUUGAAAUCAGGACAUCUUAGCAGGAGUAAGCUCUCUCCUUCCACCAGUGGGUUCUUCUGGGGACCAAACUCAGGGAAUUAGGAUUGGCAGCAAGCACAUUUACCCACUGAGCCAUUUCACUGCCCCCCCCCCCCAAUCUUUCAAAGGUUUGUUGGUUCCACAACACUCGGGAGAGUAGCAAUCAACUGUCUUCUGUGGAGUGUGAGUAAAACUGUUAGUGAGUGUGCAAAAGUGGGCCAGGUCUAGCAGACCUGGGGCAAGGAACUGGGGUGCGUGUGCUGCACAAAACUGGAGCCUAAGGGAGGCUGGACAACAAAGUGGUGAGUGGCUCGCCCUCUUGCUGCCUCCUAGUCUUGUUGGCAGUAGACUACACCUCCUGGAAAGAGAGCCUCAGGGACUGCUUACAAUGUUCACCCAGAAAGAUUUCCCCAAAAUGCUUGUUGCAGUGAAAACUCAAUCCACUUCAGAGUUUGUUUUUAGACUACACAUUGCAAGAGACAGUCUGCAGUCAAAGGAACCCAGUGCUGCUGCUGCUGCUGCUGCUGCUGCUGCUGCUGCUGCUGCUGCUUCUGAGGGAGACCUACUACAGAGCUAGGUAAGGAGACCCAACACCUCUAUGUGCGGGAUGGAAAAGCAGGUGGGGCCCGUUCCCUGGAGGAAAUAGAUUACAAAGAAAGACAACACGAAGUUUUGAUCUCAGCUCAUGCUCCAUAAACUAACAGGCUGGACUUACACGUCACAGGUUGCUCAGAGAAGGUCCUCAGUGUCACAUGCAUAUCCAUGGGACAGGUCAGUGUCCACAAAUUCACAAGGGACCUCAAAACGGGAUGAUGUCCUUCCUGCCCCUUGCAGAGGUGGGGACAGUCAUACUAACGAAGCCCACUGACUAGCUUCUAGGAGGAAAACCUCUAGUACUGAGCGCAUGUAACAUGCAAGAAACACCCACAUUCCCACCUUAUUUGAGGCAAAAAAGCCUGCAGACCAAAACUCCUGUGUAGGGCACCAGGUCGGGGCUCUUGUCUGCUGCUGGGUGGUGCACCCUUGGGAACACAGUUACCCUCCAGCUCGGAGAUGUGGAACCUUGUCUGGAUGUGCUUUACAGUAUUCACACCUUUCUCUGUAGCAACCUCCACAUUACAAUGACUACCAUAAAAAUAAAAAAAUAUACAAAACUGUUGAGAGCAGGUGAAUAUAAUUGCUUACCUUCCCAUAAAGAAGAAAGCUUUGCGUCAGCUUCGCUGUGCAUCAAGAGGAACCAUGUCCCAAUUCUUUCCAACUAAAAGCCUUUAGACUUGCUUUGUCUCCUCUCUGUUCUGAGCUCCUCGUUUCUACUCUACAGUCUACUCCACUCAGCCCUCUGUGGCCUAGUCAGGACAGGAACAUAUCCACCAAGUGCUAGAGUGAACGAAUCAACAAGAACCACAGUUAAAGUUGGCGGCACACUGCACACCGAGCACCCAGAACUCACGGGCUCAUCAGCAGAAGCAGGUAAUGGCAGGCACUCACUCUCGAAGCCACCUCUAACAUUUUCUUUUUUUUUUUUUCUCGAGACAGGGUUUCUCUGCGUAGCUCUGGCUGUCCUGAAACUCAGAAAUCCGCCUGCCUCUGCCUCCCAAGUGCUGGGACUAAAGGCGUGCGCCACCACUGCCCAGCUCAAACAUAUUCUUGAAAAGCAUGUUUCACUCAAACAAGAAAUGAACUCAAAAGACAUCAAUCUUCAAAAAGGCCUCCGUGUCACUGGGACUCAGGAAUAAGGAAAAUCCAUAAAGCUUGUCUAAUACAGUGAUCAAAAAGU